rnacentral:rRNA from 1 species
GAGUUUGAUCGUGGCUCAGGAUGAACGCUAGCGACAGGCUUAACACAUGCAAGUCGAGGGGCAGCGAGGGCGUAGCAAUACGCCUGUCGGCGACCGGCGCACUGGUGAGUAACACGUAUGCGACCUGCCCCCUACAGGGGUAUAACCCGUAGAAAUGCGGACUAAUCCCCCAUAGUCCUGGGUGCUGCAUGGCAUUCAGGGGAAAGGCCAGCCGGUAGGGGAUGGGCAUGCGGCGCAUUAGCUAGUUGGCGGGGCAACGGCCCACCAAGGCGACGAUGCGUAGGGGUUCUGAGAGGAAGGUCCCCCCAACUGGUACUGAGACACGGACCAGACUCCUACGGGAGGCAGCAGUGAGGAAUAUUGGUCAAU